GCUCUCUUCAGCAGCACACAUACUAAAAUUGGAAUUACACAGAUAAGAUUAGCAUGGCCCCUGAGAGGAUGACAUGUAAAUUUGAAACACAUUUCGUAUUUUU